rnacentral:rRNA from 1 species
CUUGGUCAUUUAGAGGAAGUAAAAGUCGUAACAAGGUUUCCGUAGGUGAACCUGCGGAAGGAUCAUUCAUAAUAAGUGUUUUAUGGCACUUUUUUAAAUCCAUAUCCACCUUGUGUGCAAUGUCAGGGUUGGUUUCUCUCUUUUGAGAGAUCAACCCCAAACAUCAACUCCAUCUUAACUCUUUGUCUGAAAAAUAUUAUGAAUAAAACAAUUCAAAAUACAACUUUCAACAACGGAUCUCUUGGCUCUCGCAUCGAUGAAGAACGCAGCGAAAUGCGAUACGUAAUGUGAAUUGCAGAAUUCAGUGAAUCAUCGAAUCUUUGAACGCAUAUUGCGCUCUUUGGUAUUCCGAAGAGCAUGCUUGUUUGAGUAUCAGUAAACACCUCAAAGCCUUUUUUCUUUUUUGAAGAAAGGCUUUGGACUUGAGCAAUCCCAACACCAAUCUUUUAAAGAGAGGGGGCGGGUUGCUUGAAAUGCAGGUGCAGCUGGACAUUCUCCUGAGCUAAAAGCAUAUUCAUUUAGUCCCGUCAAACGGAUUAUUACUUUUGCUGCAGCUAAUAUAAAGGGAGUUUGACCAUUUUGGCUGACUGAUGCAGGAUUUUCACAAGAGUCUUCAAAACCUCUUGUUAAACUCGAUCUCAAAUCAAGUAAGACUACCCGCUGAACUUAAGCAUAUCAAUAAGCGGAGGA